AUGCAUGAAUUUAUAUAUAAUUAUGAUUCCGGAAAUUUGAUUGAAAUAUCCCUUGAUGAACAUGAUGCUUGCUAUUCUUAUGACCAUGAUGCCAAUAUUUAUGGAGAUGAAUUUGCUAUAGUCCCUUAUGUUAAACAUGAGAUUGUUGCUAUUGCUCCCAUACUUGAUAGUUCCUUGAAUCAAAAGCAUGAUUGCAAUGAUGUUAUUAUAAAUUAUAUUAAUGUCAAUUGUGUUAAUGAUAUGCAAAACCCUAAGCUUGGGCAUGCUAGUUUCGUUAUGUCCACUAUUUAUUGCAACGACCAUGAUUGGGGUGAUUCUUCUUAUAAUCUUGAAAACUUAUUUAAUCCGCAUGAUGAAUAUGAGAUUGAUAAUAAUAUUUGCAAUACUAUUGAAAGUCGGUUUGGUUAG
rnacentral:rRNA from 1 species